UACGAAGGGGGCUAGCGUUGUUCGGAAUCACUGGGCGUAAAGCGCACGUAGGCGGAUUGUUAAGUCGGGGGUGAAAUCCUGAGGCUCAACCUCGGAACUGCCUUCGAUACUGGCAAUCUCGAGUCCGGAAGAGGUUGGUGGAACAGCUAGUGUAGAGGUGAAAUUCGUAGAUAUUAGCUAGAACACCAGUGGCGAAGGCGGCCAACUGGUCCGGUACUGACGCUGAGGUGCGAAAGCGUGGGGAGCAAACAGG
rnacentral:rRNA from 1 species